rnacentral:rRNA from 1 species
GAUGAACGCUGGCGGCGUGCCUAAUACAUGCAAGUCGAGCGAACAGACGAGGAGCUUGCUCCUCUGACGUUAGCGGCGGACGGGUGAGUAACACGUGGAUAACCUACCUAUAAGACUGGGAUAACUUCGGGAAGCCGGAGCUAAUACCGGAUAAUAUAUUGAACCGCAUGGUUCAAUAGUGAAAGACGGUUUUGCUGUCACUUAUAGAUGGAUCCGCGCCGCAUUAGCUAGUUGGUAAGGUAACGGCUUACCAAGGCAACGAUGCGUAGCCGACCUGAGAGGGUGAUCGGCCACACUGGAACUAAGACACGGUCCAGACUCCUACGGGAGGCAGCAGUAGGGAAUCUUCCGCAAUGGGCGAAAGCCUGACGGAGCAACGCCGCGUGAGUGAUGAAGGUCUUCGGAUCGUAAAACUCUGUUAUUAGGGAAGAACAAAUGUGUAAGUAACUAUGCACGUCUUGACGGUACCUAAUCAGAAAGCCACGGCUAACUACGUG